rnacentral:rRNA from 1 species
AUUGAACGCUGGCGGCAGGCCUAACACAUGCAAGUCGAGCGGUAGAGAGGAGCUUGCUUCUCUUGAGAGCGGCGGACGGGUGAGUAAUGCCUAGGAAUCUGCCUGGUAGUGGGGGAUAACGUUCGGAAACGGACGCUAAUACCGCAUACGUCCUACGGGAGAACGUGGGGGAUCUUCGGACCUCACGCUAUCAGAUGACCCUAGGUCGGAUUAGCUAGUUGGUGAGGUAAAGGCUCACCAAGGCGACGAUCCGUAACUGGUCUGAGAGGAUGAUCAGUCACACUGGAACUGAGACACGGUCAGACUCCUACGGGAGGCAGCAGUGGGGAAUAUUGGACAAUGGGCGCAAGCCUGAUCCAGCCAUGCCGCGUGUGUGAAGAAGGUCUUCGGAUUGUAAAGCACUUUAAGUUGGGAGGAAGGUCAGUAGCUUAAUACGUUGCUGAUUUGACGUUACCGACAGAAUAAGCACCGGCUAACUCUGUGCCAGCAGCCGCUGUAAGAC